UUAUAAAAUGUUUCAUUAAUGGAGCAAACUACAUAAUACUCAAAUCACCAAACUUUUCACGGUAGCCUGGGAUGACCCAUUUGCCCUUGGUAACCAUUGUUUCAACAAUCUUCUCAAUUUCGGGAACUGCUUGUUUCAUAUCCUCAAUGGUAAUUUCUUCAGUAGGCCUAGCUUGUUCAAUGUUCUUCAAUGUAGCACUCAAAUUCUGUAAUUCAGCUUUGACAAGUUCGACAUUCUUCUUAGCACCCUCGCUAGCUUUUGCUUCAAAUGCAUUGAUCGCUUUGAGUUGCGAAUUUAAAUCAAUCUUCACAGGUUUAAAAGAUUUCAUAGAAGACUCAAUACGAUUUACAAUCUCCUUGUUGGCUAAAACACUACGAUAGGUAGCAAAGUCGACUGUGGUAGCCUGCUCUCGCAAUGUACCCAAUUU